AUACGGAGGAUGCAAGCGUUAUCCGGAUUUAUUGGGUUUAAAGGGAGCGUAGGCGGGAGCUUAAGUCAGCGGUUAAAUGGUGCGGCUCAACCGUGCCCUGCCGUUGAAACUGGGUUUCUUGAGAGUGCAAGAGGCGGAUGGAAUUCAUGGUGUAGCGGUGAAAUGCUUAGAUAUCAUGAAGAACUCCGAUUGCGAAGGCAGUCCGCUGGGGCACGUCUGACGCUGAUGCUCGAAGGUGCGGGAAUCAAACAGGAUUAGAUACCCUGGUAGUCCGCACGGUAAACGAUGAUUACCCGCUGUCGGCGGUAGACAGUCGGCGGCCAAGCGAAAGCGAUAAGUAAUCCACCUGGGGAGUACGCCGGCAACGGUGAAACUCAAAUGAAUUGACGGGG
rnacentral:rRNA from 1 species